AAUUUUUGGGUUUAUAUAAUUAAGUCCAAGUUCGUAAAUAAAUAGAAACAGUAACAAAUGAAAAACCAACAUAGAGCUUAGCCUUAAAGAAAAGUUUAAGAUCCUAUGAAUGGAACCUCAUUGAGAAUGCGAUCACUUAAGCACGAUGGGUCCUCCAAGAGCAAGGUAGGACUGAAACCAGUGGACGAUGCACAUCUAUCUAUCUAUUAUUAUAAAAACAUGUUUAUUCACUCCUUCUUGCGACACCUCAUCUGCCACGUCAGAAAACCGCUUCUCCAGAAGCUGACAUGUGUCAAUUAUUCUAAACGCAUCGUAUCACUAACAUGAUGGUAUCAUGGGCUUCGUCUGCGUGUUGUGCGAUUGAGCUUUGUAAUGGGGAAAUAGAUCCAGCCCGGAUAGAUUGAUGUCGCCUCUAACCCUAGAACGUCUGAGGCGAAUAACCGAGGUCCGUCGCUCCCCUCCGUGCGGUGGCGAGGCACUGAAGUUUAAGCUUCUUCCCACGCACGACCUUAAACGGUCUGAUUUAUGUCUUCGUCUUUACUUUCAUUGAUUCGUUCUCCACGAUCUGAGAGGCGGCGUAGGUUCAGUAUAAAUAUAUGUUAGAUUCUUCUCCUUGAACACAUCUUAGGCCCGUGACGGGUGAGAUUAUAAUUUCUUUCGUCAGAUCAGUUGCGGUCGUAAUCUCUCUCUCUCUCUUUUUUUGGUUGUGGUUAUGAUGUGGUUAGUCUAAUGACGUUUCACGAGAUGCUUAAGAGAUUCAAAAGCUUGGAAGGUGUUUUUGCAUUAAUUCACUUUUUUCUUUGACUUUCUCUAUGUGGGUGUGGAAAACAGAAGGUCCUUUCAUCACAUUUGUUCAUUGCCAACGACAAAGAAAAAUGUUGUGUACGUCACACCUUUUGAAAAAUGUCAUCUUCAGCGACUCUUCAUGUUUUAGCGGAUUUCCCAUUCCUAAACAAAUCCAGUCCUUUUUUUUGUUGACUAUAGGAGGCCACAAUAUCUACAGAAAAGGAAAAUUAGUUCUCAAAUGAAAGCACUUGCAAACCAUUCCCAUUUCCCAGAGUUUACUCAUACAACAUCACCAGAGAAGAGAUAGGAGGGAGAUGAGGGUUAAGAAUGGAUACAUCGAUGGUAAUGGCAAAUAGAAGUUCUCAUGUGGUGAUUGGUGACAAGAUUAAUCGGAUACAAGAGCUGACGGACAAUAUAUUGCAUGCCAACUUCAGGUCUCCUUUACACUGACAAACACGUAAAUCUAAGUAGGGAGUACCCAUGUCUCAUCCUCACCAAUCUCUUCCAUCACACUGCUCUAUUAGUGAGUUAAGUUUCUUUCUCUCUGUUGUUUAUUCAGAUUAUUUAUUUAUUAUUUUCACUAUUAUUUACUUAAGCCCCCAUGUUCUCUUAGGAAUGGUAUAAGAGGCUGAUCAUGAGUUUAUUCUUUGUCAGCCCCAAAAGGUUGUUUUACUCAGUUUUUGGGAUCUUGACAAAAUCUGUCUAAGCAACCAAAAAGAAAGCACGCAAGUGGAGGUUUCAUUAUUUUGCAAUUUAUGAUGACUUAGAUUCUGGUGAUUGUGUUAACUUUUAGCUUCUUACUGAUUUGAGUUCGUAUAUGGUCAUUUUUUUCAGUUUUUGCUGUUAGUCUGUAUAUUUAUUAGUCUAUCACCUCUUAUGUGAUUUGAGACUUGGCCGUCCGAGAACAGAGUCAGUCUUCUUCCAAUCCUUCUAAUAUUUUUACACUAUUGUGCAGUUGUAUUUAUUUUGAAAGUGAUGAUGUGUAGAUUCAAUCGAUUGUCUUCUUUACUUGAAUUUCUAGGGAAUGUGGAAGAGCUGGAAUUAGAGGGUAAAUAUGAAUGUCUCAAUGCCAGUUGUAUUUCAUGUAUUUUAUGUUUUCGGAAUAUGUGUAUUUUUCUAAAAUCUGAUAGAAGUUGAACUCAUUUGUCAAAUUUAAGCAUGAUAGCUGAUGUCCCUCAUGUUAAAUUGUAUAGAGUGUAGAGUAUAAGACGAUAUAAAUGGAUCGCAUGGAAGCAAAAGUUAUGUGACGUGA